CCUACGGGAGGCAGCAGUGAGGAAUAUUGGUCAAUGGGCGCGAGCCUGAACCAGCCAAGUAGCGUGAAGGAUGACUGCCCUACGGGUUGUAAACUUCUUUUAUAAAGGAAUAAAGUGAGGGACGUGUGCCUUUUUGUAUGUACUUUAUGAAUAAGGAUCGGCUAACUCCGUGCCAGCAGCCGCGGUAAUACGGAGGAUCCGAGCGUUAUCCGGAUUUAUUGGGUUUAAAGGGAGCGUAGAUGGGUUGUUAAGUCAGUGGUGAAAGGUUGCGGCUCAACCGUAAAAUUGCAAUUGAUACUGGCAGUCUUGAGUACAGGUGAGGUAGGCGGAAUUCGUGGUGUAGCGGUGAAAUGCUUAGAUAUCGCGAAGAACUCCGAUUGCGAAGGCAGCUUACUAAACUGACACUGACAUUGAGGCACGAAAGUGUGGGUAUCGAACAGGAUUAGAUACCCGGGUAGUC
rnacentral:rRNA from 1 species